UCAUUAAGGAGCGAGAGGAGGCUAAGGCUAGGAAGAAGGCGUGGGUUGAGAAAUUAUUUGAGAGAGAGAGGGUCCAGAGGGAGAAGGAACUUGACACCAUUAAAGACCUGUAUCUCGGAGGUAAACGUUCAGAAUUGGUCCUUGUUGCAACUUAUCGAUCUGACUUUAACGAGAAGGAGGUACACAGUUCAUAAUUGGUCCUUGUUUAAGUUUUCUUAAAUUGGUGAGUGAGAAAUAAAAUUCAGAUCUGCUAAAGGAGUUAAACAUCAGUUUCGUUGUAGUUUAGUUGUGGUUUGUUUGUCUUUAAUUGCUAAAGUCGAAGAGAUCCUUUUAAUUUCUCCUAGUAGGGUUACAUGUGUAGGAGCAGCAAUCCUUGAACAUCUCAUGAAACUUGAGGAGUUGAAGUGAAGCCAAGAAAAUUGUUCACUCUUAAGGCUAUUGAAGCAACAUGAAUCAGAAGACUUCACCAUUCCCAGAUAAGCUUAAGUGUUUGGGAACAAAGAGCUUUGCAGAUUAUUAGACAUACCACAACCUUGUAUCUACGGAAAAGCCAGUCAUGAGGGUCUGACUUUGUUAUGAGUUAAUUUUUUUGAGCUUUGUUUUGUUUAAGCUCUGUUGGAUUGGUGUUGCUUCUCUGGACAAUUGAGGGGUUAAUUUUUUUCGCUUAGAGUUUUGAUUGACAUUAGAUUUUUUCUCUUU